UACGUAGGGUGCAGGCGUUAAUCGGAAUUACUGGGCGUAAAGCGUGCGCAGGCGGUCUUUUAAGUCAGAUGUGAAAGCCCCAGGCUCAACCUGGGAACUGCAUUUGAAACUGGCGGGCUUGAGUGUGGCAGAGGGGGGUGGAAUUCCGCGUGUAGCAGUGAAAUGCGUAGAGAUGCGGAGGAACACCGAUGGCGAAGGCAGCCCCCUGGGCCAACACUGACGCUCAGGCACGAAAGCGUGGGGAGCAAACAGG
rnacentral:rRNA from 1 species